UUAAGUUAUUAAGGGCGCACGGUGGAUGCCUUGGCACUAGAAGCCGAUGAAGGACGUUACUAACGACGAUAUGCUUUGGGGAGCUGUAAGUAAGCUUUGAUCCAGAGAUUUCCGAAUGGGGAAACCCAGCAUGAGUUAUGUCAUGUUAUCGAUAUGUGAAUACAUAGCAUAUCAGAAGGCACACCCGGAGAACUGAAACAUCUUAGUACCCGGAGGAAGAGAAAGAAAAUUCGAUUCCCUUAGUAGCGGCGAGCGAAACGGGAAGAGCCCAAACCAACAAGCUUGCUUGUUGGGGUUGUAGGACACUCUAUACGGAGUUACAAAGGACGACAUUAGAUGAAUCAUCUGGAAAGAUGAAUCAAAGAAGGUAAUAAUCCUGUAGUCGAAAAUGUUGUCUCUCUUGAGUGGAUCCUGAGUACGACGGAGCACGUGAAAUUCCGUCGGAAUCUGGGAGGACCAUCUCCUAAGGCUAAAUACUCUCUAGUGACCGAUAGUGAACCAGUACCGUGAGGGAAAGGUGAAAAGCACCCCGGAAGGGGAGUGAAAUAGAACCUGAAACCGUGUGCUUACAAGUAGUCAGAGCCCGUUAAUGGGUGAUGGCGUGCCUUUUGUAGAAUGAACCGGCGAGUUACGAUUUGAUGCAAGGUUAAGCAGUAAAUGUGGAGCCGUAGCGAAAGCGAGUCUGAAUAGGGCGUUUAGUAUUUGGUCGUAGACCCGAAACCAGGUGAUCUACCCUUGGUCAGGUUGAAGUUCAGGUAACACUGAAUGGAGGACCGAACCGACUUACGUUGAAAAGUGAGCGGAUGAACUGAGGGUAGCGGAGAAAUUCCAAUCGAACCUGGAGAUAGCUGGUUCUCUCCGAAAUAGCUUUAGGGCUAGCCUCAAGUGAUGAUUAUUGGAGGUAGAGCACUGUUUGGACGAGGGGCCCCUCUCGGGUUACCGAAUUCAGACAAACUCCGAAUGCCAAUUAAUUUAACUUGGGAGUCAGAACAUGGGUGAUAAGGUCCGUGUUCGAAAGGGAAACAGCCCAGACCACCAGCUAAGGUCCCAAAAUAUAUGUUAAGUGGAAAAGGAUGUGGCGUUGCCCAGACAACUAGGAUGUUGGCUUAGAAGCAGCCAUCAUUUAAAGAGUGCGUAAUAGCUCACUAGUCGAGUGACACUGCGCCGAAAAUGUACCGGGGCUAAACAUAUUACCGAAGCUGUGGAUUGUCCUUUGGACAAUGGUAGGAGAGCGUUCUAAGGGCGUUGAAGCAUGAUCGUAAGGACAUGUGGAGCGCUUAGAAGUGAGAAUGCCGGUGUGAGUAGCGAAAGACGGGUGAGAAUCCCGUCCACCGAUUGACUAAGGUUUCCAGAGGAAGGCUCGUCCGCUCUGGGUUAGUCGGGUCCUAAGCUGAGGCCGACAGGCGUAGGCGAUGGAUAACAGGUUGAUAUUCCUGUACCACCUAUAAUCGUUUUAAUCGAUGGGGGGACGCAGUAGGAUAGGCGAAGCGUGCGAUUGGAUUGCACGUCUAAGCAGUAAGGCUGAGUAUUAGGCAAAUCCGGUACUCGUUAAGGCUGAGCUGUGAUGGGGAGAAGACAUUGUGUCUUCGAGUCGUUGAUUUCACACUGCCGAGAAAAGCCUCUAGAUAGAAAAUAGGUGCCCGUACCGCAAACCGACACAGGUAGUCAAGAUGAGAAUUCUAAGGUGAGCGAGCGAACUCUCGUUAAGGAACUCGGCAAAAUGACCCCGUAACUUCGGGAGAAGGGGUGCUCUUUAGGGUUAACGCCCAGAAGAGCCGCAGUGAAUAGGCCCAAGCGACUGUUUAUCAAAAACACAGGUCUCUGCUAAACCGUAAGGUGAUGUAUAGGGGCUGACGCCUGCCCGGUGCUGGAAGGUUAAGAGGAGUGGUUAGCUUCUGCGAAGCUACGAAUCGAAGCCCCAGUAAACGGCGGCCGUAACUAUAACGGUCCUAAGGUAGCGAAAUUCCUUGUCGGGUAAGUUCCGACCCGCACGAAAGGCGUAACGAUUUGGGCACUGUCUCAACGAGAGACUCGGUGAAAUCAUAGUACCUGUGAAGAUGCAGGUUACCCGCGACAGGACGGAAAGACCCCGUGGAGCUUUACUGUAGCCUGAUAUUGAAAUUCGGCACAGCUUGUACAGGAUAGGUAGGAGCCUUUGAAACGUGAGCGCUAGCUUACGUGGAGGCGCUGGUGGGAUACUACCCUAGCUGUGUUGGCUUUCUAACCCGCACCACUUAUCGUGGUGGGAGACAGUGUCAGGCGGGCAGUUUGACUGGGGCGGUCGCCUCCUAAAAGGUAACGGAGGCGCUCAAAGGUUCCCUCAGAAUGGUUGGAAAUCAUUCAUAGAGUGUAAAGGCAUAAGGGAGCUUGACUGCGAGACCUACAAGUCGAGCAGGGUCGAAAGACGGACUUAGUGAUCCGGUGGUUCCGCAUGGAAGGGCCAUCGCUCAACGGAUAAAAGCUACCCCGGGGAUAACAGGCUUAUCUCCCCCAAGAGUUCACAUCGACGGGGAGGUUUGGCACCUCGAUGUCGGCUCAUCGCAUCCUGGGGCUGUAGUCGGUCCCAAGGGUUGGGCUGUUCGCCCAUUAAAGCGGUACGCGAGCUGGGUUCAGAACGUCGUGAGACAGUUCGGUCCCUAUCCGUCGUGGGCGUAGGAAAUUUGAGAGGAGCUGUCCUUAGUACGAGAGGACCGGGAUGGACAUACCUCUGGUGUACCAGUUGUCGUGCCAACGGCAUAGCUGGGUAGCUAUGUGUGGACGGGAUAAGUGCUGAAAGCAUCUAAGCAUGAAGCCCCCCUCAAGAUGAGAUUUCCCAACUUCGGUUAUAAGAUCCCUCAAAGAUGAUGAGGUUAACUUACGUUCCGCUAGAGUAGAACGUUGCCAGGCAAAAAAUGGAUGCGAUGAGCCGCAUUGAGACCGCAAGGUCUUUUUUUUUAUGUCUAAAGUUA
rnacentral:rRNA from 1 species